rnacentral:rRNA from 1 species
UACGUAGGUGACAAGCGUUGUCCGGAUUUACUGGGCGUAAAGAGCGCGCAGGCGGUCGUUCAAGUCGAGUGUGAAAGCCCCCGGCUUAACUGGGGAGGGUCAUUCGAUACUGUUCGACUUGAAGGCAGGAGAGGGCAGCAGAAUUCCCGGUGUAGUGGUGAAAUGCGUAGAGAUCCGGAGGAACACCAGUGGCGAAGGCGGCCGCCUGGACCUGACCUGACGCUGAGGCGCGAAGGCGCGGGGAGCGAACGGGG